rnacentral:rRNA from 1 species
GAUGAACGCUGGCGGCGUGCCUAAUACAUGCAAGUCGAGCGAACGGACGAGAAGCUUGCUUUUCUGAUGUUAGCGGCGGACGGGUGAGUAACACGUGGAUAACCUACCUAUAAGACUGGGAUAACUUCGGGAAACCGGAGCUAAUACCGGAUAAUAUUUUGAACCGCAUGGUUCAAAAGUGAAAGACGGUCUUGCUGUCACUUAUAGAUGGAUCCGCGCUGCAUUAGCUAGUUGGUAAGGUAACGGCUUACCAAGGCAACGAUGCAUAGCCGACCUGAGAGGGUGAUCGGCCACACUGGAACUGAGACACGGUCCAGACUCCUACGGGAGGCAGCAGUAGGGAAUCUUCCGCAAUGGGCGAAAGCCUGACGGAGCAACGCCGCGUGAGUGAUGAAGGUCUUCGGAUCGUAAAACUCUGUUAUUAGGGAAGAACAUAUGUGUAAGUAACUGUGCACAUCUUGACGGUACCUAAUCAGAAAGCCACGGCUAACUACGUGCCAGCAGCCGCGGUAAUACGUAGGUGGCAAGCGUUAUCCGGAAUUAUUGGGCGUAAAGCGCGCGUAGGCGGUUUUUUAAGUCUGAUGUGAAAGCCCACGGCUCAACCGUGGAGGGUCAUUGGAAACUGGAAAACUUGAGUGCAGAAGAGGAAAGUGGAAUUCCAUGUGUAGCGGUGAAAUGCGCAGAGAUGUGGAGGAACACCAGUGGCGAAGGCGACUUUCUGGUCUGUAACUGACGCUGAUGUGCGAAAGCGUGGGGAUCAAACAGGAUUAGAUACCCUGGUAGUCCACGCCGUAAACGAUGAGUGCUAAGUGUUAGGGGGUUUCCGCCCCUUAGUGCUGCAGCUAACGCAUUAAGCACUCCGCCUGGGGAGUACGACCGCAAGGUUGAAACUCAAAGGAAUUGACGGGGGCCCGCACAAGCGGUGGAGCAUGUGGUUUAAUUCGAAGCAACGCGAAGAACCUUACCAAAUCUUGACAUCCUUUGACAACUCUAGAGAUAGAGCCUUCCCCUUCGGGGGACAAAGUGACAGGUGGUGCAUGGUUGUCGUCAGCUCGUGUCGUGAGAUGUUGGGUUAAGUCCCGCAACGAGCGCAACCCUUAAGCUUAGUUGCCAUCAUUAAGUUGGGCACUCUAAGUUGACUGCCGGUGGCAAACCGGAGGAAGGUGGGGAUGACGUCAAAUCAUCAUGCCCCUUAUGAUUUGGGCUACACACGUGCUACAAUGGACAAUACAAAGGGCAGCGAAACCGCGAGGUCAAGCAAAUCCCAUAAAGUUGUUCUCAGUUCGGAUUGUAGUCUGCAACUCGACUACAUGAAGCUGGAAUCGCUAGUAAUCGUAGAUCAGCAUGCUACGGUGAAUACGUUCCCGGGUCU